UCUUAUGAAAGGAUUAAAAGCUAUCAAGAUAUAAUGCCUAUGGUAUUUUUUUUCCUCUUUAGUCUUUAUAUCAGCACUAGCUUCUGUUCGUGAUAUUUUGAAGACCUUGUGCUCAUUUUUCGCUCCUAGGUUCUAAACAAAAGUUGUAGAUCACUUUGAUUAGAUGAAUUUAGGCGCAAAAUUCACUCAGUUUGGAGCUGUAUCCUAGGAGAUACACCCUUCGCUUGUCGCUGCUGCUGCAGUUGUUGCUUUCAGCACCAGCCUCUGUUUCGUACAUUUAUCUUCAUUAUAAAGACAUUUUUAGCCAAUUAUUUCUUCAGGGAUUUUAUAGCUCUCUUCCAGAUAUCCAAUUUAGGCUCAAGAAUCACUCAAUUCGGAGUUGUGUGCAAGGAAUUAGAACCCUGAGAGUUCCGCGGUACUGCUGCAUCGUUAUUGUUGUUGUUGCUGCGUGUUCUUUCUACUGCAGCAGAUGAGGUUGUUGUUGUUGGUCUUUAUGCCCCUACUGCUAAGUUGCCAUUGCUGUUUUUCUUCCUCUAUUUCUUCAAGUUACUCUUGUUCCCUUCUUCUCAAAUGGAAGUGUGAAGAACGUUGGAGAAUCAUUUUGGAAUUCAAGCAUCCGUUAUGGAAAUCAAGGAUUGUGAGUUCUUGGAGUAGUGGUAUUAAUGGAGUGAUUUAAGUUUCUUAUGUAGUGAUUUUGCAGGUUUAGUAAAUGCCAAAGUUAAACCAAGGAUCGUGAGCGGGCCGGGGGAAAGAGGUGUGCUAGCUGGAUUAUAUGAAUUGAAUAAGGAUUUACGAGGGUUGCUUGACAUACUUCUUUAGGAGUCAAUGAUGUUUUUGAACUAUCAUGGAAUUUGUUUUUGCUUUGUACUUUGAUUUUUAAGUAGUAUUUAUUAAAUGUUAGAAAAGAAGAAACUUCAUUAGAAUUUAAUUUUCAACCAUAACUUUAUGUUUUUUUUGCUUUUACAGUCAAUUAAUGCAAAUUUUGUACAUUUAAUAUAAUAGAAAAUUUGUCAAAAAUAAGCUAA